GCCUCUGUAGUCGAAAGGAUAAGAUGUCUGCCUGAUAAGCAGAAGAUCCAGGUUCGAUUCCUGACUGAGGAU